rnacentral:rRNA from 1 species
GGCAGCGCGGGCUUCGGCCGGGGGGCAAUGGGCAAAGGGUUGACGAACCAUCGAACCUUUCCCGGGAGGGGGGGAAACCCCGGCAAAACCCGGAUUAUACCCCCAACCCCUCGGGAAAGGAAAGGGGGGGACUUAAAGGCCUCCCCUUCAAGGGGGGGCCGAUGGAAAAUUACUUAGUUGGGGGGGUAAGGGCCUACCAAGGCGACAAUCUGUAGUUGGUCUGAGAGGACGACCACCCCCCCUGGGACUGAGACCCGGCCCAACUUCCUCCGGGAGGCGCCGUGGGGGAUUUUUGGACAUGGGGGGCAACCCUGAUCCACCAAUGCCGCGUGUGUGAGAAAGGCCUUCGGGUUGUAAAGCAUUUUUGUCCGGAAAAAAACUUUUCCCCCUAAUACGGUGGGAGGAUGACGGUCCCGGAAAAAUAAGCCCCGGCUACUUACUUGCCACCACCCGCGGUAUUCCUUAGGGGCCGAGCGUUAUUCGAAUUUACUGGCCUUAAGCCUGGCCCAGGCGGUGCUGUAAAACGCAGAUCGAAAAUCCACGAGCUAACCCUGGAAACUGCAUUGUGUGACUGCAGCGCUGGAAGUAUGCCUAGACCAGGGAGGAAUUGCCACGGGUAGCAGUGAUAUGCAUAGAAGAUGUAGAAGAAUCACCGAUGGCAGAAGACAGCCCCCUCGGCCCAAUACUGACGCUCAUGCACGAAAAGCGUGGGGAGCAAACAGGAUUAGAUACCCUGGUACUCCACGCCCUAAACGAUGUCAACUAGGUGUCGGGCCUUCAUUGGCGUGGUAACGUAGCUAACGCGAGAAGUUCACCGCCUGGAGAGUACGGUCGCAAGAUUAAAACUCAAAGGAAUUGACGGGGACACCGCACAAGCGGUGGAUGGAUGUGGAAUUAAUUCGAUGCAACGCGAAAAACCUUACCUACUCCUUGACAUGUUACGGAAUCACUGUCACAAAAGGUGGGAGUGCCCGAAAGGAAGCCGUAACACAGGUGCUUGCAUGGCUGUCGUCAGCUCCUGUCCUUGAAAAGAUUGUUGGGUUAAGAUCCUCGCAACGAGCGCAACCCUUGUGUCCCUAGUUUGCUACCCAAGAACCACUCUCAGCGAGACUGCCGGUCACAACCGAGAAAAAGAGGGGAUGACGGUGGGUCAAUCCCAUCGCCUAUGAGUAGGCUUCACACGUCCACAAGGUGGACAGAGGGUCGCCCGCCGGAGGGGAGCCCUCCCCAAACCGAUCGUAGUCCGGAUCGCAGUUGCAAAUUGAGUCGGAAACUGAAUCGCUUUAUUCGCGCAUCCCAUGCCGCGUAUCUUCCCCUUUUUUGACACACCCCCUCCCCAUGGAUGUGACCACCAUGUCUCCCCAAGACCCCCUCCCCACGUAGAUCAGACUGGGUGAAGUAGAACA